rnacentral:rRNA from 1 species
UACGUAGGGGGCAAGCGUUGUCCGGAUUUAUUGGGCGUAAAGAGCUCGUAGGUGGUUCGGUAAGUCGGAUGUGAAAUCUCCAGGCUCAACCUGGAGGGGUCAUUCGAUACUGCCGUGACUAGAGUUCGGUAGGGGAGUGUGGAAUUCCUGGUGGAGCGGUGAAAUGACGCAGAUAUCAGGAGGAACACCCGUAGCGAAGGCGGCACUCUGGGCCGAUACUGACACUGAGGAGCGAAAGCGUGGGGAGCGAACAGG